rnacentral:snRNA from 2 species
GCCCUAUAGCUGCGGUUGGACAUAUACUAAAAUUGGAAUGAUACAGAGAAGACUAGCGCAAGAAUGAUACGCAAAAGCGAGAAGCGUUUCACAUUUUU